rnacentral:rRNA from 1 species
GAUGAACGCUGGCGGCAUGCCUAAUACAUGCAAGUCGUACGGGAAAGCUUGCUUUCCAGUGGCGAACGGGUGAGUAACACGUAGAUAACUUAUCCUUAAGCCGGGGAUAACAGUUGGAAACGACUGCUAAUACCGGAUAGGAUAUGCGACCGCAUGGAUGCAUAUUUAAAGGCGCGCAUGCGCCGCUUAGGGAGAGGUUUACGUCGCAUUAGCUAGUUGGUGGGGUAAAGGCCUACCAAGGCUAUGAUGCGUAGCUGUGCUGAGAGGCAGAACAGCCACACUGGGACUGAGACACGGCCCAGACUCCUACGGGAGGCAGCAGUAGGGAAUUUUCGGCAAUGGGGGAAACCCUGACCGAGCAAUGCCGCGUGAACGAAGAAGGUCUUCGGAUCGUAAAGUUCUGUUAUCGGGAAAGAAUGGCAUGGUGAGGAAAUGCGCCAUGUAUGACGGUACCCGAUGAGAAAGCCCCGGCUAACUAUGUGCCAGCAGCCGCGGUAACACAUAGGGGGCGAGCGUUAUCCGGAAUUACUGGGCGUAAAGCGUGUGUAGGCGGUCUAUUAAGUCUGGCGUGAAAUCCCACGGCUUAACUGUGGAGGGUCGUUGGAAACUGAUAGACUUGAGUACGGCAGAGGUAAGUGGAAUUCCAAGUGGAGCGGUGGAAUGCGUAGAUAUUUGGAGGAACACCAGUGGCGAAGGCGGCUUACUGGGCCGGAACUGACGCUGAGACACGAAAGCGUGGGGAGCAAACAGG